CUUAACUCUCAAGAAAUGGCGAGCAUUCCUCUUUGAACCAAGACUGAGAAGGGGAAACUAACGAGUUGUCUCGUUUCUGGGAUUGUGUUCAAAGUGCACCCACCACGUGCAUGAGAUUCCUGUUCAAGAUACACGCCGAACAAUACACACAAGUCCGAAGUACUGUCUAGGGCCCUGGCCAAGCAUGUGUACGUAGUGCAGUAUAUGCGGUGGAGUAUGAUUCAUGGAAACCUAGCCCUGUCAUAGGACAGGAAGCCUGAGUGAUGAAAAGACCCAAGAAUAACACUCACACUUGAAAGGACUUGUAAGCAAGCAAGCAAGCAAGCAAGCAAUGAAGGAAGCAAGUCAGGAUGGGAGGCCUUGUCACUAGGCAGCCACUCCGUAGGACCUUAGGCGUCUGUUGGGCCAUCUCCGUAGCAGCCUUCACGAGCGAGCUGUUCUCAUACGAAUUUUGCUAGCCAGACUCGGUGGAACCGAAAAUUCCCAGGAAACUUUCGCAACAAGGCCUACCUCGUAGUUCUCUGUGCUUGGUGAGUGUAUGCACCUCGCUUCUCGACUGUUCCUAGUCGGGAACAAUCGUGUUCCCAAGAGCUUGUUGUUGCCAGGCCAGGCUAAUGGGGAACUCUGGAAGGGCGGAGAGCGAGAAUGCUUCCCAGUCAAAUUCUUGCGAAAUUGCACCCACAAAACAGAGCGAGACGGGGAUGGCUUGGGACCAAUUCUGGGACCGAAUUUUGCCCUCCCCUAGAAUUAGACGAGGCUACAAAACUCCAAUAAAGAUUACCCAACGUGACAGUGUCGGCUUUCUCCCAAUUGAACUCAUUAAUGGGCUGUCGAUGGAUGAGCACGCUCAAAGCCCCUAAGUUCAAAUCCCUCGAGUGCCAACUUUUCAUACGCUCCACUGGCAUUCGAUCUUCGAAGAAGGAACAUUAGAGAACAUUUUCUCGCACGGUCCUAUCGAUCAUCCACAAUUGGAUCAGUUUCACGAUUCUUUCUUCCUUCACUACCAGCCAGACAAGCGGCCUUCAUGUGGAACAAAGGCCAAUGUUCCAAUGUGCCAAAGCACCACAGGCAUUAAACCGCACGUCGUUUACCUUGAGUGCAAUUGCAAUUGCACUUGCAUGCUUGUUGGAUAAUCUCUAAGUGCACGGCCAUCAUGAAGAGUAACGAAGAUGAUUCACUUUCGCUUAAAAGCCUUUGUUUUAUGUUGGCCUUCAACUCCCAAUAGCAAAGCUGGCAUACGUAUUUUUUGCGCGCUUCUACCUUUUUAUGCUUGCCCGUGACCUUGGAAUGAUGACGUUGGAACCCUGAGGUUUCAAGUGUGAUACGGUGUUCUGAUCACUUUUGUAUGGUUUACGACCGCACUCAUAUCCUAAAAUCCAUGCACGAAACAAUAUUGUACGAUGCCUCGAACAAUUUUCGAAUCUUUACUCACAAUACUUUUGAAAUCAAUAUCAGGAAUAUAUAAGAUGUUUCAAAACACCCUAAGGGCAUGUGAUAGUUGAAAGUAUCACACUUUUAAUUUUGUGUACAAAGGGAGGAACAGCGAACAAGUAAAUUUAAAAUGCGUUGAGUACGUCUCUUCGAGUUUUGUUCGUUAUAGGAAAUUCAAUGAACUGAUCAGUUUUCAAAUUUUAAGGAUUUGAAUAGAAUAAGGAAACAUCAGAAUCAUUUUGUAAAACGGCUUUUUUAGACGCCUUCAAAAGAAAAUGUAAGAGAAUGACCUUUGCGGUUAGAGAGAAAAUUCAUUACUAUCAAGGAAAUUGGAUUGGUAUAUAAUUGAAAAAUCAAGAAAGGUUUCCACAAAUUGGAAAGGUUGACUGAAAGUUUAUGACGGUGAAUUUAGAUUUCAGAAAAGGAGUUAACAUACGUUGUCAUUCUACGUACCUUCUCGUCAUAAAUCUUUAAGCAAAAGCUCAUUCCCAGAAUGAAAGCGAGAAUAUUUUUCUUAACUAUACACUAAUCACUUUCGGAGUCAAUUAAACGGAAAACCUCUGGCAAACAUUGGUGCAUUGCUAUUUUUGUCAUGGAAUAAGAAUAAAACAUUCGAAUGGACACUUGUUCGGAAAGUAAGGAAGUUCUUCUUUCUAUUUUGCACAGCUUUCACACACCUUCCCGCAAAAAAGUAAUUCGCAUGUUUUAGGUUAAUAUGCAUUUAUUUUACCUUAACGAGGGUCUAAGGAGCAAAUAAUCCUAUUUCAAAGUUAUGAAUAAUAGGGACGAAAUACUGUCUUUCUAGUUUACCCUCGAAAAAACCUUUUUUCCCUUUCCCCAAGUGCUACACCCUUAACUGCUCUUCAACCAUGGAAGUGUUAGAAUAAAUAAAUAAUCAAAUGAGA